AUGAGCGGGGACAGCAGGAUAGCGGGCAGAACACGGGGAGCAGCCCCGGCUCGGCACUCGUGCCGGCGCAGGGGCUCAGCGCGGCUCCGGGGGCUGCUCUCCGUGUGCCGCCGCCGCCGCUGCACCGUGCCUGUGCCCCGUCUGGCUCUCGGCCUCCCACUCUCCCUGCCGGCUCCGUCGCCGGCGGCUCAAGGCCCUUUUGUGGCCGCCGGCCGCCCGGCUCUGCCCCGGGCUCCGGUCGCGGUGCACAGUCUGGGCUAUAUUUGGGCUUUGCCCUUGCAGCUUUUCCUUAAAGCUGUGCUUUGCCUGUGGUUUGGGCUGGGAUUUCCAAGCAGGCGGGAGAAGUUGGGUGCUUCAUCCUCGUGCGAAGCCUGUGGGGGCUGGCGUGCUCCCAAAUCCUCGCUGCCGGCUGUGCCGGCCGGGGCUGGGGCCAGCGAGAGCCCCCGGCCCGGCUUUCGCAGGCACACGGGGAAUUUCUCGCGGAGGGGAUGGCUGCCGAAGGAGGGUCCGAAGGAGGAAUCGUGUCGGUGCCGGGGCUUUGCCACCCCGGUGCCGGCUGCUUCCCUGCGCAGGCUGCCGGGCGGAGGGGGCGGCUUCCCGAGGACGGGAUUUCUGGAGCCGUUGGUGGCCUUGCCCGCGGCUCCGCGUGGGGUGCCGGGAGCCCCGUGCCGAGGCUGCCAGCCGGGCCGUGCCGGGGCCGGGCGCCGGGCCGCUCUAAUGACACGCUGCCUAAUUAGAAGCAUGUUAUCCGGCCGCGAUCCCGGCCCGGCCCGGGAGAAGCAAGCCCCACAUUAUGGCUUGUCGCACGGAGCUGCAGCGGAGCAGAAAAUGACACGUUCCCAGGCUGCUUUUUCUGUCUCCGAAGCCAGAGCCCGGGUUUGCGUUUCUAUUUCUGGGGUGUUUUCGCGGGAAGCCGGGCUGGGGGAGCAGCUGAGGUUCCCCAUCUCCCUGCCCGGCCCGGAGCCACGUGGGUCCCCGCUCCUUCGGAGGCCUCCGGGGCAGGGCGCUCCGCGUUUCCCAGGAUUGUUCCAGCGCUUUGCCCUCCGCGCCCUUAGCACAAGUUUCCUGAAGUCUCAUUUCCCUCUUUGCAAGCGAAACCCRUCAUUCCUCAUCCCGGGCACUGCUUGCUCCCUGCCGCCGCGCAGCGCCGUCCCGUGCGCGUGCCCACCCCGCUCCGCCACCCUCCUCCUCCUCCUCCUCUGCGCUCCCGGCCGGACCCAACCUCGGCUCCCCGCUGCUCCGGCGGCCCCGGAGGCUGCCGAGGUCGGUCCCAGCCCGGUGGCGAGGGCUGCUGCCCCGCAGCCCCGCGCAGGGGUGUAUCCCGGGAAUGUUUUCCUUCCGUGGGUGGCGGAUCCGCGYGCACAGGGUCUGCUCUGUGCCCUGUCCCGGGCUGCUCCCGAGCCAAGCCGACCGCAGCCGGGAGGGAGGCCGUGCCGCCGCCACCGCCGCCGCCRCGCUCGCCCUCCCUCCUUAAAGCCGCAUCCUUUGAAGCCGGCGGAGGCGAGGGGCGACGCGGCGGCCGCGGACGCUCCG
rnacentral:lncRNA from 1 species